rnacentral:tRNA from 1 species
UCUUCCGUUGUGUAAUGGUAGCACAAGAGCUUUUGGUGCUCUCUGUUCGGGUUCGAAUCCUGACGGAAGAA